CAGUAGCCGCGGGAAUACGGAGGGUGCAAGCGUUAAUCGGAAUUACUGGGCGUAAAGCGCACGCAGGCGGUCUGUCAAGUCAGAUGUGAAAUCCCCGGGCUUAACCUGGGAACUGCAUUUGAAACUGGCAGGCUAGAGUCUUGUAGAGGGGGGUAGAAUUCCAGGUGUAGCGGUGAAAUGCGUAGAAAUCUGGAGGAAUACCGGUGGCGAAGGCGGCCCCCUGGACAAAGACUGACGCUCAUGCACGAAAGCGUGGGGAGCAAACAGGAUUAGAUACCCCGGUAGUCCCUGUCUCUUAUAC
rnacentral:rRNA from 1 species